rnacentral:rRNA from 1 species
GUAUGCCUACGGGGCGCAGCAGUAGGGAAUCUUCCACAAUGGGCGAAAGCCUGAUGGAGCAACGCCGCGUGGGUGAAGAAGGUCUUCGGAUCGUAAAACUCUGUUGUUAGAGAAGAAAGUGCGUGAGAGUAACUGUUCACGUUUCGACGGUAUCUAACCAGAAAGCCACGGCUAACUACGUGCCAGCAGCCGCGGUAAUAUGUAGGUGGCAAGCGUUAUCCGGAUUUAUUGGGCGUAAAGG